rnacentral:rRNA from 1 species
UACGAAGGGGGCUAGCGUUGCUCGGAUUUACUGGGCGUAAAGCGCACGUAGGCGGCUCGUUAAGUCAGGGGUGAAAUCCCAGGGCUCAACCCUGGAACUGCCUUUGAUACUGUCGAUCUGGAGUAUGGAAGAGGUGAGUGGAAUUCCGAGUGUAGAGGUGAAAUUCGUAGAUAUUCGGAGGAACACCAGUGGCGAAGGCGGCUCACUGGUCCAUUACUGACGCUGAGGCGCGAAAGCGUGGGGAGCAAACAGG